UACGUAGGGUGCAAGCGUUGUCCGGAAUUAUUGGGCGUAAAGAGCUCGUAGGCGGUCUGUUGCGUCCGCUGUGAAAACUCGGGGCUUAACCCCGAGCCUGCAGUGGAUACGGGCAGACUAGAGGUAGGUAGGGGAGAAUGGAAUUCCCGGUGUAGCGGUGAAAUGCGCAGAUAUCGGGAGGAACACCGGUGGCGAAGGCGGUUCUCUGGGCCUUACCUGACGCUGAGAGCGAAAGCGUGGGGAGCGAA
rnacentral:rRNA from 1 species